rnacentral:misc_RNA from 1 species
GCAAUCAACCACCGAAAAGGCCAUCCUUCUUAGUCAUGUGCUCAUUCGUAUCUUUAGGCCAUCCUUUUUAGUCCUGUGCAUUGCGUGUGCCAUAUACCCGGCUCUGCAGGAAGUCAACGUACCCUAUGUGCCAAUUCACCUCACCACCUCGAGCGGGAGGCACAACCACAAUGUGGUCGUAGCGUGCACCUUAACGACACAACCCUUGGGCCCCGUGCUAGCUGGGCUCCUGAAGUAUCGCA